rnacentral:rRNA from 1 species
GAUGAACGCUGGCGGCGUGCUUAACACAUGCAAGUCGAACGGAAAGGCUCCUGCUUGCAGGGGUACUCGAGUGGCGAACGGGUGAGUAACACGUGGGUGAUCUGCCCUGCACUUCGGGAUAAGCCUGGGAAACUGGGUCUCAUACCGGAUAGGACCACAUUUUGGGUGGUGUGGUGGAAAGUUUUUCGGUGUGGGAUGAGCUCGCGGCCUAUCAGCUUGUUGGUGGGGUAAUGGCCUACCAAGGCGUCGACGGGUAGCCGGCCUGAGAGGGUGUACGGCCACAUUGGGACUGAGAUACGGCCAAGACUAGUACGGGAGGCAGCAGUGGGGAAUAUUGCACAAUGGGAGCAAGCCUGAUGCAGCGACGCCGCGUGGGGGAUGACGGCCUUCGGGUUGUAAACUCCUUUCGCUAGGGACGAAGCGUUUUUGUGACGGUACCUGGAGAAGAAGCACCGGCUAACUACGUG